CAUUUAAUAAACAUGCUCUCUGCUAUUAUCUAUUAACAGGAAUUGAUCUAUAAGACAAAUGAUGUUACAACACUGGUUGUGAAAAGAAUAAUAGAUGAAAACAGAUGAUAACCAAGACUUCAAGAUCAAUAGAACUUGCAUUAUUUAAGAGCAGAAAUGUGAAAAAGAUGUGAAUCGCCAAACACAGGACAUUUCAUUUUGAAUUAUGUUAAGGAAUCUGGAGCCAAUCAAUACUUGGUGAGAUUGGAUUGUUUGCCGCAGCAUGGAUCAUGUAAGUAUUCGACCAUAAAUUAUAUGUUAGAUUUAUAGGCAUAAGGUCGUUAUGUUCUUGUAGUUGUCUUUGAUAUUCCAGAUUAUUAAGUUUGGCUUCCAUUAGAAAUUCAAUAUGGCUUCUUGGAUAGAAACCUCAUCUGUAUCCUCAACAUGUCACUUAUUAAUAUAACCUUCAACAGUUAAUGUCAGAAUAGUAGUAUUACUACUGCUAUUAUGUUAACUUCCUGCCUUUUUAUUUCUAUGGGAUUUCUAACAAUUGCUAUUGCUAAAUUUCCAUUAAAUGUAGUGUAGGCAAAUUGUUGGUACUAAGUGCAUUUUGUUCCAUAUAUAGUAUAGACCACCAGCGGGGAAACAUUUAAUCAAAUUGUUAUUGAAUGUGAUUAAAAUAUUUUAAGUUUGGAAUGAACAUUAGUUGAACGGUUCUGAUAUAAUUUCACUCUGCAUGCUAAAUUAAUUUUCCACUUACUGCAAAGUAUUCAACACAAAAGUAAAAAUAUUAAAUCACUUUGACAAAAUGAAAAAUCUGUUUUAUUAAAUUAUUAGGAAGCUGCAUUGUUGUUGUCAAAUAUAUCUCCAAUUUCAAUAUCAACAAUUUUACAAUGAAAAACAUAUAAGAGAAAUAUUUGUUUCUUCUGUUUGCCCCUGAAUUGCAAUGGUUGUCCUCUCUCAAUGAUAUAAUUUAAUAUUUUUUAUUAUGAUCAAUUACUGACUUGUUGAAGAUUACUAAAAUAGAACCCGUUAACUGUUUGUCUUUUAGCAUAAAGUCACAUAUACUUUGUAUCUUUACAUUGUUCCAAGAAUUUCAAGAAAACAUCCUCAAACAAUAUUUUCUGUCACCAUAUAUGGUAAUACAUUUAUACAUUUAUACCAAUAUUCCAAAUACCAAAUAGUCCUUUAAUAUAUGUUUUAAGAUAGAUUCAAAUACUAGCAACACCAUACCUGCCAACUUUUCAAAAUGCCCAUGGGGGUUUUACGUGCAAAAUGGCUCUAUAAUAGUCUUCAACUGUUCAAGGGGCCUUCAAAUAUAUUUUAAUGUUGUUUUUUGUCUUCUUCAUACUUUUACAAGCCUAUAGCCAUUGUAAAAUUAUUGCUUUGUAUAAAAUUGUGGACAAAUUUGCUCUUUCAAAAUUUGCAUGUGUGAGCCUCCAUUGGGGAAAUCCCUCGCAAAUAGUGACAGUUUGCAGGUAUGCAACACAAGACUAUACAGGUAUAUCAAUGCUCUACACUGAGUACAUAUGUCUUUAAAGAAACCUCUAUUAUAGACACUGAAAAUAUAUGUCUUAAAUGCAGUCAAAUGGUUAACUUUCUAGAUUUUACAACUUACUGAAAAAGAAGGAGAAUUUUUAUUUGAAGAACCCAAACUAAGUAUAAGAUAGUAUGCAUAAUUACCACAAUUCUGGUAAAUCUUUUCCCCUGUAGGACAUAUGAAACAUGUUGUUUGAAAUAGAACAAUUUAUUUGAUAUUGACAUCAGAAACUUGUGAUAUGACCAUAUUUUUUUGAAUAUGGCCACAUUUAUAUGAAUCAUCUAACAUCACAAAUGAAAUUGAUUACGUGUAUUUUUAUUAACUUUUUUUUACAUAAUAAUUCCAAAUAUUGUUGAGUUUUGUUUUUUAUGAUUUUUUUUGUCAGUAAUCUCUUAACUGCCCACGUAUGUCUGUUUCUCAUUUAUAUUUAACCAUUAAGCAGGAAAACGGGGGACAUAAGAGAUCAUAUUGUAAUUGUAAAGAGAAAGCGGAGAUUAAUAAUGCACUGACAUUUCAGAGUAUCAUGCAGUAUAUUACUUUUCUCAUUUUAAGUUAUACGUAGAAGUAAUAUAACUUUAUACCAAAAAUGAAACCUACAUCCUUAAAAAGAAAUUUCAUCUAUAAAAUGUCUAUAUAGGUUAAUUGUAAUAAUAAAUAAAAAAGUUGAAAAUGUUCAAAUGUUAAAUAUCUAAGUUAAAGGUCAACAAUUUUUUUUACAAAUAAAAAGAAGAAAAUAUCCUAAGAAACAUAAAAUUGUUUAGAUUUACAUUAGCCAGAGUUAUAGAAAAACGCACAGAAGUUUGAAGCUCUGCUCUCGAUUGUCAUAUUAAAGCUACUGUGUGAGGUUUGGUUGCUAUCUCAUUGACUUCUACACCAGGGUCAUCAGUUAUACAACUUAACUCCAUAUUCUGUGUACAAAAUUUGUGCUUGUAACACUAAGUCGAUAAUUUUGAUUGGUUGAUUUCUGAGUCUUGAGUAUGAUGAAAGUUCCUGCAUGGCAAAUAUCUACCUUCAUUCCUAUUUGUUAUUUCUAUCACAUGCUUUUGAAUCCAUUUUAUUAUCCUUUAGUCCCCAGAAGGUCACUAAAAGAACGGAACGUCCAUCUUUAUAUAUAUCUCUUCUGGUCUAAUUCAAGAAUAAAGAGGAGACAUUUUUUGAGCUAGUAAUAACAAGAUUUUGAAUUAUUUAAAAUAUUAUCUCAAAAGAAAUUUGUCUUUCAUGCCUGUUGCUGUUGUUCAUCUUGAAAUUCACCACCAAAUCAUCAAUAUUUCAACAGACAUUUUACCAAUAUAAGAAUCUCGAUUUGUACUUUUGCUUUAUGUCACUAGAUCUUUGAAUUAAUGAAAGUCAAUAAAUAUGGUUAUUGGUUUUCUUUCAAUAUAAGGUUACAUAACCAGAAAAUUAAUUCAGACAAUUUUCUGAUGGAAAUUAGAUUAAGAAGAAGGUUUUCAUUAAUCUUACAGUUAAUUACUUAUUUCUGAAAGCUGUAGUUUUGAAUGUCAUCUAAUCUUCAGCAUGAUCAACUAAUUUGAAAACAGUUUUUAAGAAUUAUACUGUGUAAUUAUUGAAAAGAAUGAACUUUUAUUUAAUUAUACAUUUAUUUUGGAGUGUGGUUAUUGGAAUAUCAAUUGAUGUAUAAUAAAACAUACAAAAUAUGCUAUUUAGUUACUUUAGAUGUCAGUUUGCUGUCUCAUUCGGCACGGGACGUUUGCGCUUUUUUUUUGUGGACACUUGCGCUUCAAAACAUAAGACAUUUGCGCUUUUUAAAAAUGGACAUUCGCGCUUUUUACAAAGGACAUUUGCGCUUUUUUUUUUUUACAUCUAUGACUUCCCUCCUCUUUUAUCCGGGCUUGGGACCGUCUUAGGUUUCAAAGUCAAAUUUAUCAUCACAAACUUCAACUAGCUUGGUAAAACAAUGAUGAUAUAUUUCUUCAGACUUCCCAGUCAACAGAAUAAAUACAAGGGGAAUAUAGUUCCCAUUUUUAAAUCCAUGAAUGGUAUAGAGCUGCUUAAAAAAUUUAGGGCAAAAUUUAAAUGUUCCGUCCAUAAAAAUUUCUUCAACAUAACACAAGCAUUCUAAAUUGGUUGUACAUGUAAAGAUGAUUAUUCCAUUUUCUCUGUCAUUGACUUGAAGAAAAUUUUCGAAUUUUGAGGUCUGUACAGGAUAACCUUCAAAGAGAGUGUGAACCUCUUCUCUUGACUUAGGCAAAUUCGGUUGGGAUUUCCUUCUCACUCUAUACAUUGCCUUUGAAACAGACUUUAAAUCCUUAGGAUGUAAAGAAUCCUCACCAACAUCUUUCAAUCCAGCACGAAUGAUUUUUGAUGGUCUCUGUGUGAGGUCGUCAGCAGCCUUUCGUUUUGCAUACACUCUUAGCUGAUGGCGCUCAAUUUUUCUGUCGUCGCAUUGUUCAUGAUUGUGAUCAUUUUUCUGACUCAAAAUAUUAGAAGUCCCAUUGUUCGUUUUUAUUCUUGCAUUACAAUUUUUUAGGGUACAUCUCCAUGAAAGGUCUCCAAUUUUUUAACGAUAUAAAAAUCCAUCAAGACAUAUACAUUGUUUUUCCUUUACUAGUCACUAUAACUUUAAACUCCAUGACCAAGACUGUAAAUGUGAACUAACUAAUGACAAAUAUAGGUUAAAUUUAUUCACAUAUUGAUUACUUCUAAUUAAGAUUACAGGUAGUCGACUAUAGGUAAAAAGCGCAAAUGUCCGUCAAUUUAAUACAGGUGAAUCAAAAUUAAAAGCGCAAAUGUCCAUAGUAUUUGAAGCGCAAAUGUCCUAUCGUUUUACAGGUAAAAAAGUGCAAACAUCCUGUGCCCGUCUCACUGAGGUCUUACACUACAUCUCCUUUUAUUUGUAAAAAAAAUAAAAUUGUCCUCAAUUUAGGGUAAUCAUCAUAUCUUCCUAGAAAUUAAUUGAUUUUAUUGACUGGUAGAUUCCAUACACUAGAGCAAUGUUACUGCCAGAAAAAUUUUUUGAAAAAUUAUAUAUAAAAAGAAAAAAAUCGACAUUCCCAGUGUAUGUUUUAGUCCAAAUAUUAAACCCUUUUAGGGAACCAUCUGAAAAAAUAGGUAUGAUUUAAAAAUUAAUGUGAACUUGAAAAAAGAAGUUGGCAUUUCCAGCCCAAAAUAUGGACAUGUUUUACAAGAACAUUUAAGAUCUGAAAAUCUCAUUGCAUUCCAAUACAUGCACAGGCACUUGUCUAUGAAUUUUGUUUACCUAUAUUACAUAAUGUAAUAUUAGGAUGACUAUAGCUAUAUUUUUUUCUGAGACAAGUGCCUGUGCGAGACAUAGUAUGAAAUUAAUACAAGCUUAAAAGAUUUACAACUCAAAAUAUAUUAUUUAAUGAAAGAAGAGUUUUGGAGACAAGUUUUUUUAAAAAUAAUUAAGUGGACAGAUCAAACAUAUAUCUAUGAAUUUCAUCUAAAAUGUAGAGAGUUAUUAUAGGUAUUGACUAUUAUUGAGGGUUGUUAAAAUAGAUUUACUUGAAAAUUUCAAGUUUAUGGUGUGUUAUCAGUCUUUAACGGAAAACAUUACAAUGAAAUUUAUUGCAAACAUACAUUCCUCUUCACAGUGAUUGAUGUAUUUUCUUCUUGUGAAUUAUAAUAUAUUUGUUUUCUGUGCAACCUUUGAGACAACUUCAAUUUCAUUGCAUAUUUAAGUCAACAUACUUUUGUUCCACUAACUUCUAGAAAUAAUGUUUGACAAAAAUCUUAUCUUUAUAUAUAAAACAAGUGGAUAAUGCAUUUGUAAAGACAGUGUUACAUGAAAUGUGAGCAGUGCUAUAAAACAAUUAUCAUCACCAAAAAAAUAUAUGGGUAAAAAAAACGUAAAAUACAUUUGCUUUCAUGUAUAUAUAUUUCAUUAAUUUUUAAUGGAUUUAUCCUUUUCCAGACCUGUUAUUUUUAUUUAAUCAACGUGUGAUUCGUUUGAUAUCAGUAUUUCAUUGGUCAAAAUUUGAUUAUGACAUAAAAUUUUCUUUCUUUCCUCUGGAAAUCCUAUUGUGAGAAUUUGUGACACAUGAACAGAUGUGACCAUGCCUGAUGAAGUCACCUCAAAAGAACACAUCUUUUUGCAAAUGAUUAAAAAAGAAUGAUUUUAGGAUUGUCAGCAUAUCGUCUUUAAUCAUUAGAGAAACAAGAUUCCACCCAAAUCUCUUGUAAUACGAUAUGUAUUAUACACUCUCGACAGUUAAAUUUUAAAGUCUUACCCUUAUAUUGCAUUAUAUAGUAACAUUGCAACUAAUCUUUAAUGACGGGCAGAUAUUGAUUAAACUUUACAGUCAUAGAAUUCGAAAAUAUGCAUAUAUAGGAAUAUAUUUUCAACAUGGGAGAUAAUCAAAUUUAUGGGGUGGGGAUAUCCUUUUGUUAGUUCUAGUUUAAACAAACAUCCAAACAUAGGGAGAGGAUAGAUAUGACUAUUCCGGAUUGUUUAUCAUUUGUUUAACGCCUAUUAAAUAUUCUUUUAUCUGACAAAGUAAAUAAAGCAGAAUUAUUGGUUGUAUGUUGUGUCUAUUCAUGUUUUACCAUAUCAUACAGGUGUUUUAAUUAAUUUAUACUCCAAAAACAUGCAUGGCUACAUUUUGAAACUCAAUAAUUUAAGAACUUUUCACAGAGGUUUCAUUCAAUAACCUCAUUCAAUGUAACACGAUAAGCUGUUUAAUUAUUGAUAUGAUGUUUGUAGGAAUAGUUGAUUUUGAACAACAUAUUGCCACCAAAACGCUUUCUUUGAGUAGUUGAUACUUAGUCAGCAGUAUUGGUUGAGCUAGAGCAGUACAUUGUUAGCUCAGUCGGUUAAAGCCUGACUUCUAACACAUAGGUCCUUGGUUUGAGUUCCCUUUUUGAUUUUCUAGUAAUAAUCAUACUGGAUGGUUAAAGGAGAAGGUUCACCAAGGGUUAAAAUUGACCCUAUUUUUUUUUAUGUUUUUUAAAUCGGGACAAAAUAUUACAAAUUUCACAGACAUACUUGUGAUAAUACUAUUAGAAAAAAAAAAAUUUUGGCACCUUCUUUUAAAAUUCAUGAAGCUCUGAAAUUAUUUGUAUCUUAAUGUCAAUUUUGGUAAAAAAAAUCUAUUAUUUUAUUGUUUUUGGCAUUAAUAACCUUGGCCGCCAUCCACUUUCCAAAAAGUUUUUAUAUUGAUUAAUUCUAUAUCAAAAUUGGAAUCUUUUGGUUACAACACAUUUUGGAUCGUAUGUGGCAUCUAAGCUUUUUAGGUCUGAAAAUUGCACAAAAUCAUCAUAUUUUGUGACAAAAUGUCCAAUUUUGGCUUACUUUGGAGGUUAUUAUGUUUAAAUAUGACAUGAAUAGUUGAGUAGCAGAUACUUAACCAACCAUACAAUAGAGCUUGGAAAGAACUUUUUAAGCCCAGUUGGUUAGUACCCUAACUUGUAAAACAGAAGUCCCUGAUUCAAGUCCCUUGGAGACACAUUUGGAGAAUCGUACUUUCCAGUUACAAAAUAUUAGUGAGUCAUUAAGACAGAAACCAAACAAAAACAUUUCAUAUAUCAAAAUCCUUAUUGAUGUUUUUUGUUGUUCUCUCAGUCUAUAUAUUGCUAAUUGAUAACCUUAUUACAAAAAGUCCAAGCUCAUCCUCAAUAUGCACUGAGUAUUUGCCAAUGGAUGUUGAGCAAAUAAUAAUCAACAACCAAUUAAAAGAUCAAGGUGUAGAUAUUUUAAAUAUUUACUUUAUACAUCCCUUGUGGAAUCAUUUAUAAUCCAAAUGGCUGAUUUCCUGUAAUGUUAUUAUAAAGCACUGUUUGUACAUGUUGUGGGAAAGUCUAUAAAGAUCUAAUACAUAUAGUAGCUAUAAUUGUAGAAUAUUAGAGUCCAUUUCACUCAUAUGAACUCAUAUUUAAACAAUAAUGAGGAGGUAUGUUAUUUAAUUGCCAUAUCCUCAAUAGAGAAAAGGGACUUGAAAUAUUUAUGGAAAUAUUCAUUUCUUUCCUUGAACCUGUGUCCAAUACUGCUAUUAAAAAAGCCUAUACCGGUAAGUGGAUUUUCAUGAAUUCUAGAAUAGACAUCUUUUUCCAGGUUCUAAUUCUCACUUUAAAAUGAGUUAAUAAUCUUUUGGGUGUUAUACUACUUACAAGUUGGAAGUUGAAAUUGUUUAAUGUGAAAAUCUCUAAAGAAAAUCUAUCUUAAUAAAAAAAAUCAUAGGUAUUGAUGAUAAUUCAUCAAAUAUUUAUCUUGACUCUUGACGGAAUGUAAUAAGUUUUAAUUUUGCUUUUCCUCUUCAAAUAAACUUUCAAAAUUAAAUAUGAACUAAUCAAAUUCUUGACUUUAUUCUCUAUAUUUCUCUUUUGUGAUAAAAUCUUUCUGAUAAUAAAACAAUCUUGUUGAAUAAUGUGCAAAUUACUGUACUGAAAUUAAAGACUUGUAACACAAUUUAAGAAGUCACAGCAUCUCCGCUUGUCAUAACUUAGAUAUAAUCAAUGAUCUUUCCAGGAGAUUGAAAAUCAAAGUUUUUUGGUGCUUAAAUAUGCUUCAUAAUGCAUACACAUCAAUAUGACAGUUUUCCAAAUUAAAAAACAACGAUGUGUGACAGCAAUUGAUUACCAAAAUAUAUAGGCAGCAAUUACAUCUGAAUCACACCAGAUAUUAAUUAGAUUAAAGUUUUCCACUACUUUAUUUUAACAUGGAUUGUUCAUUUAUAGUUUUAAUUGAAUUAUUUUAUGUAACAAUUCAUUUGUUUUUUUACAGAUUUAUGUGGAGAAUUUAACUAUGAGUUGAUUGGUUGUAGUGAAAUAGUCAUCCAUUAGAAUUCACGGAGCACUUUUAUAAAAUCUUUAUGUUAUACUCCAGCACAAACAGUGCAUCAAUAGCAAUGAUAUAUCCUGAAGUGCCAGAAGUUAGGUGUAAUCAAUAAUUUUCUCCGAACUCUGAUUACAUUUAUGGAAUAGACAACUAUAGACUCUUGCACAAACAGCAUUGGUCGCACAACGAUAUGAUUUUUUAUGGUAAUCAUAACUACAGUUUUAUUAAAAAGCAGUUACAUCAAAG
rnacentral:lncRNA from 1 species